AUGGUGUCCACAUCUCAGCUCAUUGUGCUUUUGCUCUUCUGGGUUUCAGCCUCCAGAGGUGACAUUGUCCUGACCCAGUCUUUAGCCACUCUGUCUGUGACUCUAGGAGAUAAAGUCAUCAUCACCUGUAGGGCCAGCCAGGGUAUUAGCAGUUACUUACACUGGUAUCAGCAAAAAACAAAUCAAGCUCCAAGGUAUGCUUCCAAGUUCAUCUCUGGGAUUGCCUCCAGCUUCAGUGGCAGUUCAUCAGGGACAGAUUUCACUCUCAGCAUCAACAGUCUGGAGACUGAAGAUGUUGUGAGUUAUUGGUGUCAGCGGGGUAACAUUUGGCCUCCCACAGUGGUGCAGACCAUAGCAAAAUCCACCAGGGAAGCAGAAGUGUGA